rnacentral:sRNA from 2 species
CGCUACGCUCGAGUGUAGUGGAAAUCCUUUUUUUUUACACCUGACAGGUUUCUAAAAGCUGUCAGGUGUAAAAAAAAUUGUAGCGGAAAGCGGGACUUUGC